GAACGCGGAGUGCGGUGAAAGUCGCACGCUCCGUGUGAAUGGGGGGAAAAGUUUGAGAUAUUUAUAAUAUCAGGAACUUACCUAUCCAUAU
rfam:Enterococcus faecium DO, complete genome.